rnacentral:rRNA from 1 species
AACGUAGGAGACAAACGUUAUCCGGAGUUACUGGGCGUAAAGGGCGUGUAGGCGGUUUGUUAAGUCUGGCGUGAAAGCUCUCGGCUAAACCGGGAGAGGUCGUUGGAUACUGGCAAACCAGAGGACGGUAGAGGCGUGUGGAAUUCCGGGUGUAGUGGUGAAAUGCGUAGAGAUCCGGAGGAACACCAGUGGCGAAGGCGACACGCUGGGCCGUACCUGACGCUAAAGCGCGACAGCAUGGGGAGCAAACGGG